ACACUUAACUGUUCUGUUCCCAACAUAUUCCAAACAUCAAAACAAAAUAUUUAAUAUACAACCAGUGUCCUCAAAACAAACUUGAAAGAGAAAUUUAAACUAAAUAGGUGACUUGUUUUAUUUCGCCAAGUACAAAAUCUUAUUAGAAACAGUAUGUUGAAUCCCACUGUGACCAGGACAAUAAUUUCUAGAGGUUUCAAGAAUUUUGGUCAUAAGAGACAACCUGAAUCAACAUUUACUGUUAUGUGGCAUGGAUUUUUAACCUUUACUUUUAUUGGAAUGGGAAUUGAAUGGAAAAGAAUUUCAUCAUACUUUUUUGGUGAUGAUGACACAAGAAGUAUUACAUCAUCUUUAGAGUGAGAUUUAAUUUUAUUUAUACAUGUACUAGUUGGAAUGUAAUUAAAUAUAUUAGAAUAAAUUACCUAUGUGAAACUUACCUACUCAAUACCUUUACUUUAAGUAUUUGCUUUUAAUUUAUUUUUAAAAUUAACUUAGGGCUGGUUUUUUCUUAAAAUUAUUAAGUAAUAAUAUUAAUAGUGACAGUUAAUGAUAUUAAUUUUGUUACUUAAUAACUUUCCAUUCAUCACAAUUAAACAUAAAUGUCAGUAGGGUAAAUCUACAGUUGAGCAAUAUUUAUGACAAAUCCAGUUACUGUUACACAACAUCCCUGCCCUUAACUUAUUUGCUUUCAAAUCAUAUUAAAAAACCAGCCAAGUGCGAGUCAGACUCGCGCUCUGAGGGUUCAGCACUCAGGUAAUUUUUCAGACAUUUUUUUGUGAUAAAUUAAAAACUAUUAUACAUAAAAAUCUGUUUUUAGAAUAUAUAGGUAAAACCCUUUCAUUUUCUACACCUCUUGGUAUAGGUAGUUGAAAAUUGAAACACAUUUUAGUUUACUUUCUGUGAUGUAACCACAAAUUCAUGGUUUUCGGAUUUAUUCCUUUAAUUGUGCUAUAAGAGCCUACCUACCUGCCAAAUUUCAUGAUUCUAGGUCAAUGGGAAGUACCCUAUAGCUUUUCUUGACAGACAACAGACGGAUGGACCGGUGAUGGGUCCAUAAUGAUGAUGAUGAUAUUCUAUUUUAGGGAAUCUGGAUAUUAUGAUACUUGAUAGUGAAAAUCAAUCUGAAGUUUUAGUAAAAGAUACCACGAUAAGAUAAAAUACUUUAUUUAAGCUCACAUAAUUAUUGUUCUUAUGAAUUACUGAUUGCAUUGUUUUAAAUUCUAAAUAAAUAGUACUUAAAACUAGGAUUAUAAAUUUUCAAUAUGAUUUUGCUUUCUUUUGAAAUGUACCUCCUGAAUAUAGUAUUUACCUAGAUAUUGGUAAAGAAAAUAUAAAUCAAUACUUAAUAACAUACUUAACAUUUUUGACAUAAUAUAAAAUAGUAUUUUAUUUAAACCCUAAAUUGAUGGUAAUCUUAUGAUAAAAUACAAUAAUGUUGGUGCACCAAUUAUACUUCAAACCACAAGUUUUAUUUAGUUGACGUAUUAUGAAUGACUACUGUUAAUGUUAGUGUCAGUACUGAAACAUUCCGGAAGCUGUGUACAAAGCCUUAAACUUAUAAAAAAAUUACAGAAGUGAAUUAUCACAUCCUUGCGAGCAUUUUUUAUAGUAGUGAGAAGCACCAAUUUGUUAGAAUAUAGAAAAAUUAAUAAAAAAAUUAAAACAAAUGGCUUUGUGUUACCUUUCAUUAUUUACAUCUUCCUUUUUAGCAGGUAUGUUUAG